UACGGGGGGAGCAAGCGUUGUUCGGAUUUACUGGGCGUAAAGCGUGCGCAGGCGGUUUUGUAAGUCUGUCGUGAAAUCCCCGGGCUCAACCUGGGAAUUGCGAUGGAGACUGCAAGGCUAGAAUCUGGCAGAGGGGGGUAGAAUUCCACGUGUAGCAGUGAAAUGCGUAGAGAUGUGGAGGAACACCGAUGGCGAAGGCAGCCCCCUGGGUCAAGAUUGACGCUCAUGCACGAAAGCGUGGGGAGCAAACAGG
rnacentral:rRNA from 1 species